rnacentral:rRNA from 1 species
UGGUGUAGCGGUGAAAUGCUUAGAUAUCACGAAGAACUCCGAUUGCGAAGGCAGCCUGCUAAGCUGCAACUGACAUUGAGGCUCGAAAGUGUGGGUAUCAAACAGGAUUAGAUACCCUGGUAGUCCACACGGUAAACGAUGAAUACUCGCUGUUUGCGAUAUACGGCAAGCGGCCAAGCGAAAGCGUUAAGUAUUCCACCUGGGGAGUACGCCGGCAACGGUGAAACUCAAAGGAAUUGACGGGGGCCCGCACAAGCGGAGGAACAUGUGGUUUAAUUCGAUGAUACGCGAGGAACCUUACCCGGGCUUAAAUUGCAGAUGAAUUACGGUGAAAGCCGUAAGCCGCAAGGCAUCUGUGAAGGUGCUGCAUGGUUGUCGUCAGCUCGUGCCGUGAGGUGUCGGCUUAAGUGCCAUAACGAGCGCAACCCUUGUUGUCAGUUACUAACAGGUUAUGCUGAGGACUCUGACAAGACUGCCAUCGUAAGAUGUGAGGAAGGUGGGGAUGACGUCAAAUCAGCACGGCCCUUACGUCCGGGGCUACACACGUGUUACAAUGGGGGGUACAGAGGGCCGCUACCACGCGAGUGGAUGCCAAUCCCCAAAACCUCUCUCAGUUCGGACUGGAGUCUGCAACCCGACUCCACGAAGCUGGAUUCGCUAGUAAUCGCGCAUCAGCCACGGCGCGGUGAAUACGUUCCCGGGCCUUGUACACACCGCCCGUCAAGCCAUGGGAGCCGGGGGUACCUGAAGUGCGUAACCGCGAGGAGCGCCCUAGGGUAAAACUGGUGACUGGGGCUAAGUCGUAACAAGGUAGCCGUACCGGAAGGUGCGGCUG